CUACGUAGGGAGCAAGCGUUAUCCGGAUUUAUUGGGUGUAAAGGGUGCGUAGACGGAGUAGCAAGUUGGUUGUGAAAUCCCUCGGCUUAACUGAGGAACUGCAACCAAAACUACUACCCUUGAGUGUUGGAGAGGAAAGUGGAAUUCCUAGUGUAGCGGAGAAAUGCGUAGAUAUUAGGAGGAACACCAGUGGCGAAGGCGACUUUCUGGACAAUAACUGACGUUGAGGCACGAAUGUGUGGGGAGCAAACAGGAUUAGAUACCCUGGUAGUCCACACCGUAAACGAUGGAUACUAGGUGUAGGGUGUGAUAAACAUUCUGUGCCGCCGCUAACGCAGUAAGUAUCCCACCUGGGGAGUACGGCCGCAAGGUUGAAACUUAAAGGAAUCGACGGGG
rnacentral:rRNA from 1 species